GCCGGGCGCCACCCGACCCGCAGGAAAGCGGGUGGCCCUAGGGGAGGGACCGGGAAUGCGGGCACAUCCUUCCGUUGCCGCUCUGCCUCUGCACCCCCCGGGCAUGGCGCCGGCCGGUCCCAUUUCAUCCUCCCCACGAACCUCCCAAGCGGUGUUGCCAUGAGCCACGUUCACAAACGAAAUCCUCCAGCCUCACGGACCAUAUGAACUCGCCCAAGCCGCCUCGGCUGGGAAGGUGGAGCGAAGGGAUUUGAAUACAGGACUUUUUUUUUCUUUUACUCUAUUUCGCUUGGCUCCCGACUCCUAGGGCGCCAAGGAAGGUAAUUCGCGCCCCUUCGCGCCGGCUGUCGUGAUGCUUCCCGGAGCAGUCCUGGGUGCGCCUCCUGGGGAGCGCUGGGGCGGAGGCAUCGGCUGCGCUGAGUGAUGCAGGGGAUCUUCCCAGCGCAGGGAUGGAACCAAUGUUUCCUGCUUUGACAGGCAGGAGAGAGUGACCUAGGGAAGCCACUAGUGAAGCCCCAGAAGGGGAACUAAAGUGGAAAUGACCCAGUGAGGAAGGAAAGUGAGCACCGCCUGCCCUGGCCACACAAUUAAAACAUAUACGCUGGCCAAAGGUGCAUCACUCCUCCGCCCAUCUCUUCAGACUGAGAAAGGCUCAUUUUGACCUGGAAGCCUAUUAAAGCAUUCCACUGGGGGAAUUCUCUGCCCCUGCUGGAGGGACACUGUGAGAAAAUCUUGUUCUUUAGAAUGCAGCCACACAAAAGGUUUUGUGCAAAUACCGAGUCAUGAUUCUAUAAAUGCAAAGAAGCAUUAGAGAUGGUAUGUGAACAAAAGCUGGACAGAGGAUGCACACCCAGAUGCUGUCUUGGCCAGGUUGCAGUUUCAAUGAUCUAAUGUUUUCUGGCUCCUUCUUGCUUUGCUUUUCCAAUUUGGUUUGAAUAUUUGCAUUGCUGUAUUAUUUUUCCUGUACAAUUGCUAUUGUCUGUACACAAUUAGGUCAUUUUCACAGUUGGGUGAGGAGACACUUCAGACCUGAGAUGAGCUGCAGCUGCUAGCUGAUUCCCUCCUGGGUUGUGUAAUUAGAUCCCCGUCCUGUUGGCCCCAAAGACACUACCUGCACCCAACAUCUGUUGGGUUUUAAUGUAAGCCAUCUAACCAAGUGGAAAGAAACCAUGACAUCCCUUUGUAAUGGUGGUUAAGCACAUCUUGUCUUUGUAAGUUUUGGGUUAAUUUGCUGAUCUAGUCAUCCUGUUCUUUGUGCCAAAUCUAAUCUUGUAUUGCUAUGCUCCAGACAAGAGAAAGGACUGUUUCCUGGCAGCUGGUGGCUUCUUGGUUUGUGGCAGGUCUGCUGAAGACCUGGGCAAGGGAGAAGAAAAGGAAAUUAACAGGACGAGGAAGAAGGACCAGCCGCCUCCAGAAGUGCACACGGAAAUUCAUGUAGAUGUUCAGUUUUUUUCAGUCUCCAGCACCAGCUGGCCCCUGUAUGUAAGGAGGUUACUAACUCAAGCAACACUGCUGGUGGACCCAUCAUUUGGCCCAGAUCAUAGAAGGAUUCUCCACUAAAUCUGUUCAGUUCCAUCUUGUUUGGAGGGAGACAUGCUGCUCAUCAUGCCCACAUCCUCACACAGACUGUCCAGGUAAGUCUCCCACCUUUGGUUCAAGGGCUUACAGGUUUCUGGGGCCACUGGACACAGGGAUGCACAGGCUAUGGGUUGUUGUUGGUGGGAUGGUGGGUCUACCCCUUGGUGAUAUCUCAGCCCUGAGCCCUUUCUACUCUAUUCCUCGGUUUUCAUGGCAAAUCUGAGGACCUUCCUCCCCCCACACUAUCCUCUCUGGUGCCACUUGCCCCUCUCCUGCCUCCUUUCCUCACACCAGCACUAGGAUGUCCAAUCAUUAAAUAUGGAAAUAUCGUAUAUUCAGUGGAUCCUUUGGGUCUUUAUUUCUGUUUCCAUCUGCAGUGCCCUUAGGUAUCAGGGAGAGAGAAGAAAGGAAGGGAAACACACACAGGAAGCAUGUCAAUAGGCUGAAACUCUGCUACACUUUCAGAUGACAGCUCACCUACAGACAGAUGGUUUAGGAAUCAGCUAAGCGCUGGAUUUCUUAAUACUGCCAGGAGUAACUCAGAAGGCUGGGGAUAUGGCUGGAAAGAUCAGACACCCAAGCUUUUGAAAACCACAGUUUUGCUCUGUGGCCCAGUCUAGGAUCCCAGCUCUGACCGCUGCUGCCCAUGCAGGUCUCAAUGAAUUUCUCUCAGAGUCUCCAGACUGCCUUGGCUGACGACUUGUUCCUCUUGGGACAGUUUUCGCCCGAGCUGAGCAGCCUGGCCCCCAGCUGUGCGGGGCCCUCUCUCCGGUAAGAGGAAGCGCUUUCAGCUUAGUCCAUUAUUAACACAAACAUUUAAAAGCAAACAUUCAAAAGCCACAGAUCGUGUUCACAUAAAUAAAACAGGAUUGAGAAAAGCUUCACCCCAAGAAACCAAAGGGGUGUUUUAAAAAACUGCCCCUGCCUUCCAAGUAGGCAGGCAGCAAAAGCCACAGCGAUUCCAAAGCCUCGUGUGCUCCUUAGAGCUGGGUGGCUGUGGCCACAGGCCUUUGAAGAGGAAAUGCCAUCCCCGGGACAGGCAGAGAGCCAGCCCCCAAGAUCUGAAAGUACCAGAGAGAAGCUGAAAGCAGUGAAGGGGAAGGGGGAGCACAGCUGGGAAGUGAAAAACGGGAGGAAGGUGCAGGGAAAAUAAAGGGGGAGGCUCUUCCCAACUGGGCUCCCCACACCCAGGCCAAAGAGUCAGUAGACAGAGCGGUUCACUGUGCCCCUGAGACAGAGCUGGCCAUGGAGGGGCCUGGGCGGCGGGCACAGCCCAGGGUGACUAAGGCCCCGCAGAAGGGUGUGUGUUCUUGCUGAGGGGUGGAGAGGGGUGGUGGUGUCUGGGCUGAGAGAUGCCUUUACUUUGAAAGCUUCUGAGGAAAUUAACUUUACAAGGUACCUCCCUGUCUCCCAGAGUUAUUAAAAGAAAGGAGGGAGCAAAGAAGAAAUGGAAAAAUGGUAACACCUCAGGAAGGGCUGAAUGAUCCCAACUGAAGGAAAUGGGAGGCAGAUUAAGUGAUGAAUGUGCAACCUCUUCUCAGGGAGGAAGAACUCUGAGUGUGACCUUGUGUAAAUGGGAAAAAACAAAACAGAAAACCCCCACGCAAAGCACAACACUCAGUGUGGCUAAGGGCAAAACGCAGACACACAUACACAUGCCCUUUGAAUAUGUAGGAUGAAUGACUAAUUAAAUAGCCUAGGAACUUCCAAGUAAAAGGUCUGCUGGUACAUCUGUCUCAGUGGGGCAGCACCGAAUGCUAAAGGGAUGGAGCGAGGAAGAAAGGUGCUAUAAGUCAUGGGGUCCCGAGAAGGUGGCAAGUCUGGGAGCCUUUGGAGUCCUAACAGUGGGGCCCAUAGAUGGAUAUCUAUCCAGACAUCCAUUGCUCAUUUGUUGAUGAAGAGAAAAAAGGCACUAAAUCUAAUCACCCUUAAAAAAAAAAAAAAGGAAGCCAACUGAAGCCAUUCAUUUCACAGGGUAGGAAGCCAGGUGUUUUCUUAUGUGUUAAAAAUCUGGGGUUUAAAAAUGUAAACCCCUCCUGCCUGACAAUAAUCCUCAGAGCAGAUGAGGCCACGCUCGCCCAACUUUGGCAAGCCCAGUCAGUGUUUGAAAGCAUGAUCCUUAGAAGCUUGUGCCUGCCCAGACACGUGUACCCACAACUGCCUUACAUUCAGAAUUGCAUUCAGGUGGACUAGCAAAUCCAAGGUUGGAAAAAAUAUACUGGGAGAGAAACAGCCUACCUUCUGCUCCUCUUCUUGCUCUUCACUCCUAAGCCCUCAGACUUCACCCCUAAGACUCUGCAGGUGACACUUGGAGUGAGUGGCCUUCUAGUGGCUGGGUAUCUCUGUGUCCUUCCAGACAGUGCUGCAUUUGCCCGGUGGUGGAGGAAACAUUUCCAGCUGCUUUCUGCUGGCUCCUUCAUCAAAGCUGCUUCUGAACCUCUCAUACGGCUCCUCCCAACACGCAAAGCCUUUGGGUGGUUAGGAGUUUUCUUCACCAAAUUGUCAGAGUCCUGAUGACAGUACUUCAAAACAGAAGUUGAUUCACCCAGGUACACAAGGUCAUGAUGGACAGCUCCAGUCUCCAUGGGCCAACAUUUAUUUUUCAACUCCUCUAAUUAUUUUGUGUGUGUAUUAAGAGAAUUAGAAACAAUCACUGCCACUGAUAUUAAGUGUUUACCAUGUGCCAGAUGCUUUAUAUAUAUUACCCUAUGUAAUUCUUGGCCUGAGAAGGCACCAUGUUGUUUCCUGGGUUUACUGAGGCUCAGAGAAGCUGUGCAGUUUGUGAGAAGAUAUAGGACUAGAAAAUCAGAGUUAGUAUUUGAACUCAGUUCUAUUUAAUUCACUAGUGGGUUCCUUCAAUCAGUGUCCUGGACUGGCUCCAGGGGCCAAAGAUAGAUUUAUUUCUGCAACAGGGAAAAACUGGUAAGAAAUCCCAUGCUGAGCUAAACCUUUAACUAAUAUAACUCAAUGGUCUGCCUCUGGUGUUGACCAGCAGAAACAUUAGAUAGGCAAGGUUAGGACAUCAUGUUAAAAAAGUUGAGUAACUCCCUAAGUAUCUCCUAAUCUCUCACUGAUAUAUGCUAACUCCAUUAAUAUUUUCAGUCUACAUCAAUCUCUUGGAUACUAGUUUCUGUAUGUUUAUUAUUUUCUACAUUUACUAUAUUUUGGGGUACUCUGAAUUACUUUUAAGUUUCAGGGGACACCCUCAUACUCUGUUAUUCCUAGAUUUAUUGACUGAUAGAAAUAAAGGCCAAAAGGAAAAAAAUCUCAACAGGCUGAAAUGAUAGAAUGAAACUGAGUGAGAAUAAAUGACAAGUCAUGAACUGAGGUUCAGUUAGUCAGCUAACUGACUGCAGAAUGAUGGCGAACAAAGAUGGACAUUGUUACUUCAUGGUCAGCCAUGGAUAAGGUGACCUUAGGCUGCCUGAAUAGAAACAUAGAGUCUGGGACAAAGCAGGGGACAGCUCUAGUUUAGUCUACACUGUAUAUAUAUUAAGUCAUGUUCUAGCCACCCAGCUUUAAUAGUAACAAAGACAUUUGGGUGUUAAAUUAAAAAAAAAAAAUGUGAGAAAACCACAUUUCAUGAAGAGAUCUGAUGUGCGUAUUGAGGGAAAAGUGGAAGAGGGCAGGAUUAAGUGUCUUGAAACAUUUGAAGCCAGGAAGCAACUUCAGAGGGAAAAACUGGAACCAAAUGGAAAGAAAUUUCAAGGGGCCGACUUUGGUUCAGUAUAUGGGAGAAUUUCUCUAUCAAAACUUCCAAAACAGAAUGUGCUGCCUCAAAUGGUGAUAAGCUUUCCAUCCUCGGGAUAUGCAAAAAGAGGCUGGAUGACCACUUGUGAGAGAUGCUUUGGAGGAAAUUCUGAAAUUGGAGGUGGGCAAGGGUAAUUUCAUAACCUCUAGGCACCCUUCCAGCUAUAAGAUUCCCCAUUUAAUAUAUCUCACCCUUCAUUCACCAUCUGGGCAAUCCCUAAAACAUCCAGUAAUCUCUCAAAGCUUCAAUUUUCCCUUCAGUAAAAGGAUUAUAUGAAACCUGUUAAAUCACAAGUUUAAUGUGAAAAUGCUAGUUAUAUUUUACUAGGAUUCAUAAUUAUAUUUUUUAAAAUAAAAAAAAUUUUUCAUGAAUCACAUAAAAAUCACCGUGCUUAUUUUUUUAAACCCCUGAAGCAUCUUUGGAGGUCCUGGACUAGUUGAUUUCUACGGUCCUUUGGGUUCUAAGAUCCUACAGUUCUGUGGUUUUGCAGAGAUCUUAAAGGUCAU